UGGGGAAUUUUCCGCAAUGGGCGCAAGCCUGACGGAGCAAUACCGCGUGAGGGAGGAAGGCCUUUGGGUUGUAAACCUCUUUUCUUAAGGAAGAAGAACUGACGGUACUUAAGGAAUAAGCACCGGCUAACUCCGUGCCAGCAGCCGCGGUAAUACGGAGGGUGCAAGCGUUGUCCGGAUUUAUUGGGUUUAAAGGGUGCGUAGGCGGUUGAUUAAGUCAGUGGUGAAAUCCUACAGCUUAACUGUAGAACUGCCAUUGAUACUGGUUGACUUGAGUACUGUUGAGGUAGGCGGAAUUUAUGGUGUAGCGGUGAAAUGCAUAGAUACCAUAAAGAACACCGAUAGCGUAGGCAGCUUACUAGACAGUGACUGACGCUGAGGCACGAAAGCGUGGGGAGCGAACGGGAUUAGAUACCCCUGUAGUCC
rnacentral:rRNA from 1 species